rnacentral:lncRNA from 1 species
CUCCCAACCGCUGUCAACCAAUCGAUGACAAUGCUGAAUUAUAAAAUUCUGUUAUUAGAGUACCUGAAAAACUCAAAUUCCAGUUGCCCAAGUCUAUAUCACUUGUUUGUCAGCAGUUCCAAAUGAGAGCCCUUCAUUGAAAUCGUCUUUAGUUCCCAGUGUAAGGAUAAUGACUUGACCAACUGAAAGAAGCUUUUCCUUUGUUUUGUAAUGUGUCUGAAACACAACACCGUCAAGUCAUUAUCAAAUGGGAACCUUCAACCUUAUUGUUGUAAGUCCAGUCAGCCUGCUAGUAAUGGAAUCUGGUUGAUUAUUAACAAAGCUCCGAUGCAACAAUUAUAAAACAAAUGGAUGAGGUCUAUCUGGUUCCAAAAAUAAUAUGUCAAAAAGGCAAUGAAAAAAUAAUCGGACAACCAACAAAUAGAUAUAUAGUAAUUACUUCACCUCAUAUGAUACAGUAACAAUAUAUGUUGCAGGUUGAAGAGAUAAGAACUGUGGUUGCACAUCCAUUUACUGGUAAGAUUAAGUUUAAACCAUACAGAGUAAGAUCUAAGUUUAGGGGGUUCCCGAGAGCUAGGAGUUAAGGAUGUGUGUUCUAACAUGACACCAAAUGCAACAUAAUGUAAAGAAGUCAGUAUACUUGCUCCCUACUUGUAGACAUGAUAAAUUUUGUCCCAGGGUAGUAACAGAACCCCACUUCCUCCACCACCUCUAUUCUGUCUAACACUAUCAUAUUCAAAAUUACCUAAGUAGUUAUAUUCUUCUAAUGAGAGAAACUCGGCAAUGCACUAACGUGCAACUCUUUUUUCCUUAGCAAUAUUAGAUGAGCCAGUUCCAUCAUCUAUUUUCUCCAUAAAAAUUUCAAAAGUUGUUGUAGACCAAAAUCAUGCAUUAACAUUAUUAUCAAUACUGUUAUCCAAUUUGAUUACAAUCGAUCAUUUGUUUCAUUUUUAAGUAGGAUCUUUUCUUUAGGUACUUCCAAGACGUAUGUAAACAUUGUAAGCAGUUUAUCAAUCAUUAUAAUCUAAGAAACAAUUAAUCACAAAUGACCAUAGCAAAAUAAAUAUUAAUCACUAUCACUGUCAUGUGUAAAGGUUUGUCAGUGCUUUAAUUCAAUAAGAUUUAACCAUUCAACAAAAUUGCAUAACCUAAAUGUUUAAUUUGCUCUGAACAAUACCUUAUGUCUAGAAAAACAUUUUGGUCUGGCUCAACUAUCCAUAGUCUGUAGUCUUCCACAAUAAUUUUUUUCAUGUCACCAUGUUAAUAUUUGCUGGUUUGCCCUGACAUUCUUGAAUUAUUUGCAAAAGCAGAUGAAAAUAACAUUGAUCUUGGUAUUCUUAUAUAAUUUUAAAUUCCAAAA